rnacentral:lncRNA from 1 species
CAAAAAGUGUCAGCAGCACACAGCUGCCUAUGAGGAGCUUCUGAAAAUGACUUUUUUCUACACGGGUUCACUUUUCCUAUAAAGGUGAACAGGGUCUACAGAAGUUUACUGGUGCCUCAUCUGUUUCUAGGAAACAACUAAGCAAAAUGCAUCAUAAAGAAGCUGUAAACAGCUUUAACUCAUAAGUUUGCAUGUCUCCCUCCCUGCCUGCUUGUCCGUUUGUCUGUCUGUCUUCCAGUCUACCUGCAGUUUAACGGGAGCCGUGGGUGCCUCCAUAGCCGUCAGGGAGAAGGUCAGGCAUGCUAGGACAACCGCAGACGAAC